rnacentral:lncRNA from 1 species
AAGAAUAUAUGCAUAUGGUUAUCACAUAAUUCAUCUCUUUGAUCUUGAAUGCUCUAUGACAAUUUAGGAUUAAACUAUCAACCCUGAAGGGUCAUCCACAUUGUAUUCCAAUCUUUCAAAUCCAUCACAUAGAUUAUCCUGAUCAAAAUUUUACUAAAUUGAAAUACAGUGAUGCAUCAGCUCCUAUAAUCUGGAGGGAUCAAUUUUAUCUUGAUCCACACACAGACUUCGCAAGUACUUGACGG